rnacentral:rRNA from 1 species
CCGGCGCACGGGUGAGUAACACGUAUCCAACCUGCCGUCUACUCUUGGACAGCCUUCUGAAAGGAAGAUUAAUACAAGAUGGCAUCAUGAGUCCGCAUGUUCACAUGAUUAAGGUAUUCCGGUAGACGAUGGGAUGCGUUCCAUUAGAUAGUAGGCGGGGUAACGGCCCACCUAGUCUUCGAUGGAUAGGGGUUCUGAGACGGAAGGUCCCCCCACAUUGGAACUGAGACACGGUCCAAACUCCUACGGGAGGCAGCAUG